GAUUAACGCUAGCGGCAGGCCUAAUACAUGCAAGUCGAACGGGAUUCAAAGUAGCAAUAUUUUGAUGAGAGUGGCGCACGGGUGAGUAACACGUAUGCAAUUUACCUUUAACUGGGGGAUAGCCCUCCGAAAGGAGGAUUAAUACCGCAUAAUAUAUUGAAAUGGCAUCAUUUUUAAUAUUAAACCUACGGGGGUUAAAGAUGAGCAUGCAUCCGAUUAGCUAGUUGGUGUGGUAACGGCUCACCAAGGCAACGAUCGGUAGGGGGUCUGAGAGGAUGAUCCCCCACACUGGUACUGAGACACGGACCAGACUCCUACGGGAGGCAGCAGUAAGGAAUAUUGGACAAUGGAGGCAACUCUGAUCCAGCCAUGCCGCGUGAAGGAUUAAGGCCCUAUGGGUUGUAAACUUCUUUUAGACGGACAAACCCUUUACGUGUAAAGGGUUGAUGGUACUGUCAGAAUAAGCAUCGGCUAACUUCGUGCCAGCAGCCGCGGUAACAGAG
rnacentral:rRNA from 1 species